rnacentral:rRNA from 1 species
GACACGGCCCAGACUCCUACGGGAGGCAGCAGUGGCGAAUUUUGGACAAUGGGCGAAAGCCUGAUCCAGCAAUGCCGCGUGUGUGAAGAAGGCCUUCGGGUUGUAAAGCACUUUUGUCCGGAAAGAAAUCCUUGGCUCUAAUACAGUCGGGGGAUGACUGUACCGGAAGAAUAAGCACCGGCUAACUACGUGCCAGCAGCCGCGGUAAUACGUAGGGUGCGAGCGUUAAUCGGAAUUACUGGGCGUAAAGCGUGCGCAAGCGGUUUGCUAAGACCGAUGUGAAAUCCCCGGGCUCAACCUGGGAACUGCAUUGGUGACUGGCAGGCUAGAGUAUGGCAGAGGGGGGUAGAAUUCCACGUGUAGCAGUGAAAUGC